rnacentral:rRNA from 1 species
GAUGAACGCUAGCGGCAGGCCUAACACAUGCAAGUCGAGGGGCAGCACAGAAACAGCAAUGUUUUGGUGGCGACCGGCGGACGGGUGCGUAACGCGUAUGCAACCUACCUUUAACAGGGGGAUAACGGAGAGAAAUUUCCACUAAUACCCCAUAACAUCGAUCAAGGCAUCUUGAUUGGUUGAAAACUCCGGUGGUUAAAGAUGGGCAUGCGUUGUAUUAGGUAGUUGGUGAGGUAAUGGCUCACCAAGCCUACGAUACAUAGGGGGACUGAGAGGUUAGCCCCCCACCCUGGUACUGAGACACGGACCAGACUCCUACGGGAGGCAGCAGUGAGGAAUAUUGGUCAAUGGGGGCAACCCUGAACCAGCCAUGCCGCGUGCAGGAAGACGGCUCUAUGAGUUGUAAACUGCUUUUAAACAGGGAUAAAGCACAGUAUGUAUACUGUGUUGAAGGUACUGUAAGAAUAAGGAUCGGCUAACUACGUGCCAGCCGCCGCGGUAA